CAGAUUGUAGAUUAACAAGGUGGCUCAGGAGGCGCUGAACAAUGUCCCGGUCGACUCUCUCGUCGAGGAACCUCCGCCUCGCAGGCAACGUCGCACGGGGGUUCCCGGUAGAUAUUAUCCGGUUAACGAUGCCCUUCCUAUCAAAGGGGUGACAAAACUGCCCACAAUACCCCAGGUCCAUCAUGGGUCAGAUGCCGUCCCCACCAUCUUGAAGACAGCUUCGAAAGGAGAUGACUCAAGAAGGAUUGUCACCUUGUCAUGGUGGAGAGGCUUUUGAGUUCCAGAGAUCCUGCGAGUGACACCAUCUGGAAUUUAGCCAUCUGGAACCUAGCUACUGGAAGUGCCAGCCAUGAUGG